rnacentral:misc_RNA from 1 species
UUUCCGUAGGUGAACCUGCGGAGGGAUCAUUACAGAGUUCAUGCCCUACCGGGUAGAUCUCCCACCCUAUGUUUUUAUUACUUUGUUGCUUUGGCGGGCCGUUAGGCUCCGGCCCGACUACCGGCCCCGGCUGGUAAGCGCCCGCCAGAGGACCCAAAACCCUGAAUAUUAGUGUCGUCUGAGUACUAUAUAAUAGUUAAAACUUUCAACAACGGAUCUCUGGGUUCUG